YUGRWUUGRCSGKWCCYWWWAAGGAAGCACCGGCUAACUCCGUGCCAGCAGCCGCGGUAAUACGGGGGGUGCAAGCGUUGUUCGGAAUUAUUGGGCGURAAGCGCGUGUAGGCGGUCUGAUUAGUCUGAUGUGAAAGCCCUGGGCUCAACCCAGGAAGUGCAUUGGAUACUGUCAGACUUGAAUACGGGAGAGGGUAGUGGAAUUCCUAGUGUAGGAGUGAAAUCCGUAGAUAUUAGGAGGAACACCGGUGGCGAAGGCGGCUACCUGGACCGAUAUUGACGCUGAGACGCGAAAGCGUGRGUAGCAAACAGGAUUAGAUACCCUGGUAGUCCACGCCGUAAACGAUGAGAACUAGGUGUCGCGGGUA
rnacentral:rRNA from 1 species